GACGAACGCUGGCGGCGUGCUUAACACAUGCAAGUCGAACGAAGUGGAGAACGGGUGAGUAACGCGUAAUCAACCUGCCCUUCAGAGGGGGACAACAGUUGGAAACGACUGCUAAUAACGCAUACUGAAGGAGGGGAUUGCGUCUGUUGAGCUAGUUGGAGGGGUAACGGCCCACCAAGGCGAUGAUCAGUAGCCGGUCGGAGAGAAUGAACGGACAAAGUGGGACUGGGACACGGCCCAGACGCCGACGGGAGGCAGCAGGGGGGAAUUUUCCGCAAUGGAAGAAAGUCUGACGGAGCAACGCCGCGUGAGGUAUGACGGGUUUUGGGUUGGAAAGCUCUGUUAAUCGGGACGCGGUACCGGAAUAGAAAGCCACGGCUAACUACGUGCCAGCAGCCGCGGUAAUAC
rnacentral:rRNA from 1 species